rnacentral:rRNA from 1 species
UAUAGCGAUAGCUAAUUGUAUUUAAACAGUAAUGGAUACAAUAUUGACUAUGUCAAAUAAAAUUCUAGGCAGAAUUAUGAUAAUGACAUUGUCUGCCUAUGUGUCUUGACCAAAUUACGUGCCAGCAGUCGCGGUAAUACGUAGAAGACUAGUGUUAUUCAUCUUUAAUAGGUUUAAAGGGUACCUAGACGGUAAAUCAAGCCUAAAAAGGGGACUAAUUUACUAGAGUUACUUGUGAGGGGGCACUAAAGUACUGAUGGUGUAGAGAUAGAAUUCUGUAAUACCUUUUUCGUAAAGAAAGCAAUGGCACAGGUAUAGGCGAAAGCAUCCCCUUAUGUGAUAACUGACGUUGAAGGACGAAGGCUUUGUGCAGCGAACAGGAUUAGAUACCCUAGUAGUCGAAGCAGAAAAUGAUGAAUGUCAUAGAUUAGACAUAUAAGUUUAUUCUAUAAAUGAAAGUGUAAGCAUUCCACCUCAAGAGUAAUAUGGCAACAUUGGAACUGAAAUCAUUAGACCGUUUCUGAAACCAGUAGUGAAGUAUGUUGUUUAAUUUGAUGACCCGCAAAAAACCUUACCACAACUUGAAUAUUUAUAGAUAUACCUUUUUAUUAAUAAAAAGAUUAUAGAUAUAUUUACAAGCGUUGCACGGGCUG